AUGGCCGGAAGCCGCCGCCGCCGCCGCCGCGGAAGAGCGCGGCUGCCGCAGCAGGGUGCCGAACCCUCGCCGCAGGCAGAGACCGCUCUCAGCUCCACGUCUGCACCCUCACCCCAACCCAGAGAAGUUACCACUGUGGAGAGAACCUCGAAGAACGCCUGCCCUGCUUCAGCCUCUACCUCCUUGCCUUUGUCUGGCCCUCAUGUUUGUGCAGAUCUCCUGGACAGCCUGCUUCAAGAAAUUCUGCUUCAUGAAAUUAUUGCUCUGUUUGACUCAUUCUAUGACUUCCUUGCAUUCAUUGGCACCUGCCGCUCUUGGCGCGCUGCAGUCUCUACCUUUCCCUCUGUGCAUACAUUCAGCUUCCCGCCGCUCCACUUCAAACCAGAUGGUCCUUAUGUUCAUCCACAUAGCGGCCCUAUCAAGCCCAUCCUUUUAUCUGAUUGCAAAUGGCAGCUCAGUGAUCCUAGCAAGAAAAACUCAUCUCUUGCGUGUUCAGUGCCUAAAAAUAGUCCAAAUAAAAUGCACUAUUUGGGCUGCUCGUAUGGGUAUCUUAUCUUCUCCUACAAGGUUCACUGCCUCCUUGUCGAUGUGUACACUGGUAGCAAGGUGAUGCCCCCCAAACUCCCACGUAACAGUGAUCUUGGGUACUUUUGUGGCAUAGGCAUCCUUACGGCCCCAUCGAUUUCACCCAACUCUCGCCUCCUCCUUUUCUCAAGAGAUUCCAUGUUUGAGUGGCAGGUUGGAACAAACUCCUGGUCAGAGCACACCCUUACUCUUGAUAAUGAACGCAUCUAUCAGAUUGUGUUCUUCAAAGAUGAUAUCUUUGUCGUAGAUGCUGUUCUCAGGCUCCACACUAUACACCUGACACCUCAGUUCAGCAUGCAAGAAAUAGCAAUUAAAUAG
rnacentral:rRNA from 1 species